rnacentral:lncRNA from 1 species
CUUUUUCUUUAAAGUAAAUAUAGCAAUCCAAAAAGGAAUUAAAUACUAACCUUCCAAAAUGCUACCAUAGGCUAAUGUGCAAAAGCAAUCUGUGUAGACAGCAGCAACGGAAGCUUUUAUGGCCUGCUUCUCUUCCUCCAGAUCUGAACGUGCAGCUAUUUUAGAGACUGAUCACAAUGUCACUUCAAGCCUUUGCAACUCUUCUGGCACCAGAGAGAGAAGCUAAUGUGACUCAUUCCGGAGAAGCUCAAAAUACUCCUAUUUAAAAGUCAGAUGCAGACUUACUACAGUGGUGCAUUCCAGAAUUAUCACAAUUCCUUCAGUAGUGAAAACUCUUGUUACCUGAUAAUAGUCUUGAAGAAAUUUUGGACAGAGCAAGGAAGACCCAAAACCUGAUGGAAUCAUUCUUUCUCCCCCAUUUCAAAAUUCCCUAUGGACAGACCAGAUGGUCAAGCUUCUAUGGCUCUUCCUGACUUUGAAGACAGUCACCAUCCUUGACUGCUGACCUUUUGAGGUGAGUAGUAAGGCAGGAUUAUGUCUCAGCAGUGAUUUUUGUUUGUUUUUCUCAUACCAACAACACACUAAUAAUUAAUGACUGCUCCACAGUUAGAAAGGGCAUACCUGCUGUACCCAAUGAAUUUGAUCCCAUUGAACUC